rnacentral:rRNA from 1 species
UACGUAGGGUGCAAGCGUUAAUCGGAAUUACUGGGCGUAAAGCGUGCGCAGGCGGUUUUGUAAGUCUGACGUGAAAUCCCCGGGCUCAACCUGGGAAUUGCGUUGGAGACUGCAAGGCUAGAAUCUGGCAGAGGGGGGUAGAAUUCCACGUGUAGCAGUGAAAUGCGUAGAGAUGUGGAGGAACACCGAUGGCGAAGGCAGCCCCCUGGGUCAAGAUUGACGCUCAUGCAC